rnacentral:lncRNA from 1 species
GACUCAGCUUUAACAACUUAUUAGCAGAUAUCCAAUAAACUAGGUGCUAAACAUUUGGAGAUGAAACUUUCCUGAAAAAUAUUUAAAUACUAGAACUUCUAGAAUAUUGAAAUUUCAUUUAAGCUCUUCAUUAUGCCACCACUUCUUAAUAUUCUGAGAGAUGUGAUACUGUAUAUAAAGAUUAGAAAGCAUUUCAUUGUUAUAAAUUAAAAUUAUCAGAUUUUAAUGUAAAAGAGAUUUUUUUUUUUUCCCAGAAUUCAGGUGAAAUGUUUUGUCAUGACCAGGGACAUGGAGGAAGUUAGGGGGAAAAAUGUACAUUGAGGACUUAAUAUGCAUUUACCGAAUUCUAAAGUCUGAAGUGAAAUACAUAAUUUAAUCCAUGCCAAACUUCCUGCUCGUUACCUAUAUUGUAGUCACUCAGCACAGAUGAAAAUCAGAAUUUUAUAUCAUGUCUGUCCCCAUAGAUGCUUGAUUUCUAGUCUUGGUUGCUAUUAUUCUUUUUAUUCUAUUUGUGAUCUGAGUACUUUUAGGAUUAAAUUUUGCAAAUGGGAUCAUACCACUCUUUUUUAUUGGCAUAAAAUUCCCAAGGUGCUCCUCUCAGACUUUCAUUUAACGAUUAGAACAAAAUUAGAUGAAAGAGCUCAGUGAACCUUCUGUUUCUUUGUCAUCCUUAGAACAGGUACUUGAGAUGACAAAAUGCAAAGAUGGUCUCUGUUAAAAAAAACCCCAACAAAACGCAAAAACCCUUUGUCUUCAGGUAUGUAGCCACAAAGAACCUCAUAACUACUGUUGAUCUGAAAGAUAUGGGGUAGAUGCUCCGAGUUGUCAAGGAGGGCCUUUCUUGGCUUGGAAUAACCCUGGAUAUGGUACAUGCAGAUUCUGGCAGUGUGAUUCUACAUAUAUAAAUAGUACUGAGCCAGAGCAACUGGAUUUUUUUUUUUUUUUUACCAUUUUCUUUUUUAGACCCUAAUGCUGCAAAAUAAACAAUCAUAUGGUCUCAUCAUUAAGCAAUCCAGUUCUUCUCUAUGGAUAUUGAGCAGGAGUGACUGGAGGGAGCCCGGGGUCCAGAAGCCAGCAGAGCCACUGGUCAAGCUAGAACCAUCCCUCUUCCCCCGACUGCUAAGUGACCAAGCAACACACAGUUUGUUUUUACCCCCCAUGUGUGCAAUCUCAGCCCCCCGAUGCUUGAGUGUCAUCUCAAAAAUACCAAACCUCUUAUUUUCUAUGGCAAAUGUCACCUCUGCUUGUGAAGUAAGAAAAAGUAGAACCCUGUUGAGGAAAAAACAAAUGCCAUUCAGGCCUACAAGUACGACUUCAGUGGGGCCACUGCUUGCCAAGUGGCAUCCAGGGAGGUAG